GGACGAACGCUGGCGGCGUGCCUAAUACAUGCAAGUCGAACGAGCUCUCCUAAAUUGAUUUUAUGCUUGCAUAAAUGAUUUUUAGAUUCGGAGCGAGUGGCGAACUGGUGAGUAACACGUGGGUAACCUGCCCCGAAGCGGGGGAUAACAUUUGGAAACAAAUGCUAAUACCGCAUAAUUAGUUGGAACCGCAUGGUUCCAACUUGAAAGAUGGCUCUGCUAUCACUUUGGGAUGGACCCGCGCCGUAUUAGUUAGUUGGUGAGAUAAAAGCCCACCAAGACGAUGAUACGUAGCCGACCUGAGAGGGUAAUCGGCCACAUUGGGACUGAGACACGGCCCAGACUCCUACGGGAGGCAGCAGUAGGGAAUCUUCCACAAUGGACGAAAGUCUGAUGGAGCAACGCCGCGUGAGUGAUGAAGGUUUUCGGAUCGUAAAACUCUGUUGUUAAAGAAGAACAAGUGUUAGAGUAACUGUUAACACUUUGACGGUAUUUAACCAGAAAGCCACGGCUAACUACGUGCCAGCAGCCGCGGUAAUACGUAGGUGGCAAGCGUUGUCCGGAUUUAUUGGGCGUAAAGCGAGCGCAGGCGGUUUUGUAAGUCUGCUGUGAAAGCCCUCAGCUCAACUGAGGAAGUGCAGUGGAAACUACAAAACUUGAGUACAGAAGAGGAAAGUGGAACUCCAUGUGUAGCGGUGAAAUGCGUAGAUAUAUGGGAAGAACACCAGUGGCGAAGGCGGCUUUCUGGUCUGUUACUGACGCUGAGGCUCGAAAGCAUGGGUAGCGAACAGGAUUAGAUACCCUGGUAGUCCAUGCCGUAAACGAUGAAUACUAGGUGUUGGAGGGUUUCCGCCCUUCAGUGCCGCAGCUAACGCAUUAAGUAUUCCGCCUGGGGAGUACGACCGCAAGGUUGAAACUCAAAGGAAUUGACGGGGGCCCGCACAAGUGGUGGAGCAUGUGGUUUAAUUCGAUGCUACGCGAAGAACCUUACCAGCUCUUGACAUCUUCUGCCAACCCAAGAGAUUGGGCGUUCCCUUCGGGGACAGAAUGACAGGUGGUGCAUGGUUGUCGUCAGCUCGUGUCGUGAGAUGUUGGGUUAAGUCCCGCAACGAGCGCAACCCUUAUUAUUAGUUGCCAGCAUUUAGUUGGGCACUCUAGUGAGACUGCCGGUGAUAAACCGGAGGAAGGUGGGGACGACGUCAAAUCAUCAUGCCCCUUAUGAGCUGGGCUACACACGUGCUACAAUGGAUGGUACAACGAGUCGCGAAACCGCGAGGUCAAGCUAAUCUCUUAAAGCCAUUCUCAGUUCGGAUUGCAGGCUGCAACUCGCCUGCAUGAAGUUGGAAUCACUAGUAAUCGUGGAUCAGCAUGCCACGGUGAAUACGUUCCCGGGCCUUGUACACACCGC
rnacentral:rRNA from 1 species